GCACACACCCCGAGAAGCACAACCCUAAUAAGUUCUGCCUCUAUCAUCUGACCAUGGCCACGACACGGAGGAGUGUAUUCAGCUUUGAGACGAGAUCAAGGAGCUCAUCAGACGAGAUCGGAUCAACAGAUUCAUCCGACAUCGAUCUGAAGGUAGAGAAGAUCGAUCGAGGGCCCUACCACAACCAGAGCUGUCAAGGAAGGAAGAACAGCCUGAAGAUCGACCUCCAAUCAGAAUCAUCAACAUCCUCUCUGGAGGACCC
rnacentral:lncRNA from 1 species